CUCUUCUCGUCCCAUCGCGCGCCGGCUCCUCCCACCGCAUCCUCCUGGCUCCUGCGCCGCCGCCUUUCACCGCAUCCGCUCGCGUCGCCGCCUUCCACCGCAUCCGCUCGCGUCGCCGCCUCCUCUCACUGUAGACACCGCCGCCGCCUCACAUCUGAUCUGCCGGAGCAGCCGCUUACACAUCCGCUGCCGCCACUGACUUCCCCAGUGCAGACAUCAGGUGAGCCCCUUACUCUUCUCCCCGUCGCUGCUCGUGUGGAUGAGGAAGCUUAUGUUUUGCUGCCAUCCCUCCAUGCAAGAUCCGCUGGCAAUUACUUCUCUGUUCGGUCACCUCUGUCCGGACACCGGGUCUUCUCCAACAAGAACCACGAGGAGCAUCUUCUGCUACAUCAUCUAGGUAACGGAGGAGGUACUAAUACCCUUGCAAUAACGCGCUUCUACUAUUGUGAUGUACCUGAGAAAUGUGCAAUUAAUUUGGGGAAUUUCUAGCAACCAAGAUUAGCUUUUAGAUAUUAAUGAUUUAGCUUCAGUUUACGUCGUUUUGUUUUGUACAAUUUAAUCCCUGCUACUUGUUACUGUAAUAGCUAUCUACGUGUGUGUCUAUAAUCUCAAUGUGCACUGAUCUUAUAGUCUGAAUUGACAUGCUUUCUAGACUAUUGUGCAACCAAUCUUAGUUAGUUUACCAUUUUCGUAAUUUUUUCUUUCCUUCCCA
rnacentral:lncRNA from 1 species